GACGAACGCUGGCGGCGUGCUUAACACAUGCAAGUCGAACGGAAAGGCCCAGCCUUUGUGGGGUGCUCGAGUGGCGAACGGGUGAGUAACACGUGAGUAACCUGCCCUUGACUUUGGGAUAACUCCAGGAAACUGGGGCUAAUACCGGAUAGGAGGACGGGCUGCAUGGCGGGGGGUGGAGAGUUUCGGCGGUGGGGGGUGGACUCGCGGCAUCUGCGCGUGGGGGGGGGGUUGUGGUAUACAAAGGUCUUGGCGGGGACCGGGCGUGAGAGUGUGCGCGGCCACUGUGGGUCUGAUACACGGCCCAGACUCCUACGGGGGGCAACUGUGGGGAAUAUUGCACAAUGGGCGGAAGCCUGAUGCAGCAGCGCCGCGUGCGGUGUGGCGGUCUUCGGGUUGUAAGCCGCUUUCGCCUGUGACGAAGCGUUUGUGACGGUACUGGGUGAAGAAGCACCGGCUAACUACGUG
rnacentral:rRNA from 1 species